AGUGAACGCUGGCGGUAGGCCUAACACAUGCAAGUCGAACGGCAGCACAGUAAGAGCUUGCUCUUACGGGUGGCGAGUGGCGGACGGGUGAGGAAUACAUCGGAAUCUACUUUUUCGUGGGGGAUAACGUAGGGAAACUUACGCUAAUACCGCAUACGACCUACGGGUGAAAGCAGGGGAUCUUCGGACCUUGCGCGAUUGAAUGAGCCGAUGUCGGAUUAGCUAGUUGGCGGGGUAAAGGCCCACCAAGGCGACGAUCCGUAGCUGGUCUGAGAGGAUGAUCAGCCACACUGGAACUGAGACACGGUCCAGACUCCUACGGGAGGCAGCAGUGGGGAAUAUUGGACAAUGGGCGCAGGCCUGAUCCAGCCAUACCGCGUAGGUGAAGAAGGCCUUCGGGUUGUAAAGCCCUUUUGUUGGGAAAGAAAAGCAGCAGGUUAAUACCCCGCUGUUCUGACGGUGCCCAAAGAAUAAGCACCGGCUAACUUCGUG
rnacentral:rRNA from 1 species